rnacentral:rRNA from 1 species
AACGCUAGCUACAGGCUUAACACAUGCAAGUCGAGGGGAAACGACAUCAAAAGCUUGCUUUUGAUGGGCGUCGACCGGCGCACGGGUGAGUAACGCGUAUCCAACCUGCCCAUCACUUGGGGAUAACCUUGCGAAAGUAAGACUAAUACCCAAUGAUAUCUCUAGAAGACAUCUGAAGGAGAUUAAAGAUUCAUCGGUGAUGGAUGGGGAUGCGUCUGAUUAGCUUGUUGGCGGGGUAACGGCCCACCAAGGCGACGAUCAGUAGGGGUUCUGAGAGGAAGGUCCCCCACAUUGGAACUGAGACACGGUCCAAACUCCUACGGGAGGCAGCAGUGAGGAAUAUUGGUCAAUGGGCGAGAGCCUGAACCAGCCAAGUAGCGUGCAGGAAGACGGCCCUAUGGGUUGUAAACUGCUUUUAUAAGGGAAUAAAGUGAGCCUCGUGAGGCUUUUUGCAUGUACCUUAUGAAUAAGGACCGGCUAAUUCCGUGCCAGCAGCCGCGGUAAUACGGAAGGUCCGGGCGUUAUCCGGAUUUAUUGGGUUUAAAGGGAGCGUAGGCCGGAGAUUAAGCGUGUUGUGAAAUGUAGAUGCUCAACAUCUGCACUGCAGCGCGAACUGGUUUCCUUGAGUACGCACAAAGUGGGCGGAAUUCGUGGUGUAGCGGUGAAAUGCUUAGAUAUCACGAAGAACUCCGAUUG